AGCUGUGUUCAAGAGAUAGGCAAUGUUUUACCUUGUAAUGCAGCUGUACUUGGUAAUGAGCAAGAAUCACCCAGGUGAUACUGAUUUUGAGGUCAUGAAGAACAGCUGAGCCUUGGGACUGUGUGAGAUCAUGGAAGGACAUUGGUGAAAGUGUAUCCUCAGUUACAGUUGAUGUCUCAGGACUUAUGGGGUCAUGCAAAGGAUUUGAGACUUGGCACCUUGAAUACAGCCUAUGAGAGACUAUUUGUGAAGCCUUGUUAUUGCUGAAGACCCCAGUGUAUUGGAGAUGCCAUUACUAUGGGAUGAUCACCAUUAACAGUAGCAGUGAUGGAGUGAAUCAACCUGAUCUUAGGAUGCUAUAACAGGCAGAGCUGGUGAAGUGAUGCCAGGCCUUUGGAGUUGCCCAGAAGAUCAUGUGUGGAUCUCAGACAUUGAAACAAGCUGCCUGAAAGUGAGUAUUCUGCUAACUGCAUUCAGAACAAGAUGUAGAACUCUCAGCUCCUCCAGCCCCAUUUCUGCUUGGACACUGCCAUUCUCCUGCCUUGAUGAUAAAGGACUGAACUGCUGAACCAAUGAGCCAGCCUCAAUUAAAUGUCAUCUUUGUAAGUGUUGACUUGGUCCUGAUAUCUGUUCAAGGCAGUAUAACCCUAACUAAGAUACUUACAAAGCAUUACACAAAUUUUUAUCAUUAAGUUAGCCAAAAGUAUUCUGAAAUGUCAAAUAUCAAGUUUUGACUACCCUUGGCUUUGAGAUUUGAUCCUGCAGCCCGUUUGGACUGAGCUGUUCUUUGUGUGGGAAAAUAGGAGAGAAGCAUUGCUAUUGGCUGGCUGCUUCCUUGCUAACACUGAUAUUUCCUAUUUAAAUGUCUGUGGGAACUCCAGACCCCAUUCCUUCCCAGAUUUCAUUAUUCCUUUGGAACACUGGCAAUUAACCCCUUGCUCUGAGCCCUGCCAUUUACUUUGAUUAUCUUCAUUACUACCUAGUAUUUUGUGGCUCAGAAGGCAGCCUUCUGAUAUCUGAAGCCACUCCUUUGCAGUCUGUCUUAGCUAUGGAUUCUAUUGCUGUAAAGAGACACUAUGACCAGGAAAACUCUUUUUAUUAUUAUUAAAUAUUUUCU
rnacentral:lncRNA from 1 species